rnacentral:rRNA from 1 species
GAUGAACGCUGGCGGCGUGCCUAAUACAUGCAAGUCGAGCGAACAGACGAGGAGCUUGCUCCUCUGACGUUAGCGGCGGACGGGUGAGUAACACGUGGAUAACCUACCUAUAAGACUGGGAUAACUUCGGGAAACCGGAGCUAAUACCGGAUAAUAUAUUGAACCGCAUGGUUCAAUAGUGAAAGACGGUUUUGCUGUCACUUAUAGAUGGAUCCGCGCCGCAUUAGCUAGUUGGUAAGGUAACGGCUUACCAAGGCAACGAUGCGUAGCCAACCUGAGAGGGUGAUCGGCCACACCGGAACUGAGACACGGUCCAGACUCCUACGGGAGGCAGCAGUAGGGAAUCUUCCGCAAUGGGCGAAAGCUUGACGGAGCAACGCCGCGUGAGUGAUGAAGGUCUUCGGAUCGUAAAACUCUGUUAUUAGGGAAGAACAAAUGUGUAAGUAACUAUGCACGUCUUGACGGUACCUAAUCAGAAAGCCACGGCUAACUACGUG